rnacentral:rRNA from 1 species
CCUACGGGAGGCAGCAGUGGGGAAUAUUGGACAAUGGGCGCAAGCCUGAUCCAGCAAUGCCGCGUGAGUGAUGAAGGCCUUAGGGUUGUAAAGCUCUUUUACCAGGGAUGAUAAUGACAGUACCUGGAGAAUAAGCUCCGGCUAACUCCGUGCCAGCAGCCGCGGUAAUACGGAGGGAGCUAGCGUUGUUCGGAAUUACUGGGCGUAAAGCGUACGUAGGCGGUUAUUCAAGUCAGAGGUGAAAGCCCGGGGCUCAACCCCGGAACUGCCUUUGAAACUAGGUAGCUAGAAUCUUGGAGAGGUCAGUGGAAUUCCGAGUGUAGAGGUGAAAUUCGUAGAUAUUCGGAAGAACACCAGUGGCGAAGGCGACUGACUGGACAAGUAUUGACGCUGAGGUACGAAAGCGUGGGGAGCAAACAGGAUUAGAUACCCUGGUAGUCCACGCCGUAAACGAUGAUAACCUAGCUGUCCGGUCACUUGGUGACGUGGUGGCGCAGCUACGACAUAAGUUAUACCGUCCGUCGGGUAGGUACGGUCGCGAGAAUUAAAACUUAAACUUAAGUAAGUUAGUACGGACGUGAGACGUAGCCGAACGGACGACGACGAGGGAGUAGG